UGGCGCAAUUGGUAGCGCACCUGCUUUGCAAGCAGGGGGUUAGGGGUUCGAGUCC
rnacentral:tRNA from 1 species